rnacentral:rRNA from 1 species
UACAGAGGCCUCGAGCGUUAGGCGGAAUCACUGGGCUUAAAGCGUGUGUAGGCGGAUGGGUAAGUACCUUGUGAAAUCCCACGGCUCAACCGUGGAACUGCUCGGUAUACUGCUCGUCUUGAGCCAACUAGGGGCGACCGGAACAAACGGUGGAGCGGUGAAAUGCGCAGAUAUCGUUUGGAACGCCGAUGGUGAAAACAGGUCGCUGGGGUUGUGCUGACGCUGAGACACGAAAGCCAGGGGAGCGAACGGG